rnacentral:rRNA from 1 species
GCAGCAGGCGCGAAACCUUUACAUGCACGCAAGUGUGAUAAGGCAACCCCUCGUGCUUAUCUAACGAUAGGCUUUUAUUAUGUGUAAUGAGCAUAACGAAUAAGUGAUGGGCAAGACUGGUGCCAGCAGCCGCGGUAAUACCAGCGUCACGAGUGGAAAUCGCUUUUAUUGGGUCUAAAGUGUCCGUAGCUGGUUUAGUAAAUCUUUUGUGAAAUCGUUAAGCUCAACUUAACGGCAUGCAGGAGACACUGCUUGACUUGAGACCGGGAGAGGUAAGGAGUAUUUUGAGGGAACCGGUAAAAUGGGAUAAUCCUCGAAGGACUACCUGUGGCGAAGGCGCCUUACCAGAACGGAUCUGACAGUGAGGGACGAAGGCUAGGGGAGCAAACCGGAUUAGAUACCCGAGUAGUCCUAGCAGUAAACGCUGCGAGCAAGGCGUUGCAUAUUCUAAUGGAAUAUGCAGUGUCGUAACGAAGGUGUUAAGCUCGCCGCCUGGGAAGUAUGGUCGCAAGACUGAAACUUAAAGGAAUUGGCGGGGGAGCAC